GCAGGGAUACCGAAGUGGUCAAACGGGCAAGACUCAAGAUCUUGCGACUUAGUGUCUUCAGGGGUUCGAAUCCUCUUCCCUGCA
rnacentral:tRNA from 1 species